CCCCAGUAUGAUGGAGCACCACACCACAACGUUGCCAUAGUUGGGGUUAUGGAUAUAUCUCUUGAUGAAGAACGCCAUGGGCAGCUGGAACAGGCAAGAUACACAGCUCAGACCAUUAUUUUUUUCAUCGGGUUUAAUGAAAUUACGGUAUCUCAACAAACCUGGCCAAUCAUGGCUGAGAAGGACCAGAGCUUGAUCAUCCUCAAGGGCACGCUGACCAGAUACUACAACAACAGAAUCUGCAGUUAGGCUAGGAAAUGGGGAAAACCUGAAAUGUUGCUGGAUAGGCUGGUUAUUGGAAAGAAAACAAUCGAACUUGGCUUCCGCUUGCUGAAGGACGCAAGUUUCUUAUGACUCUGUCCUUAUGACCCAGCUUGUUAAUAAUUGCAUUCUUUUUAGUUUCUUCUUAUCAUAUGAACUUGGGUACUGCAAGACUUUUUUAGUACCUCUUGUUGAGUGGAUUUAAGUGAUGUCUCUAACACUUACAGCUAGCUUCAUAACCCUUUCUGCAGCUCUUGCAUAUUCCAUUCUCUGGAAUAGAAACACACAUAAUGAUAUUAAUUAGGAUAUGGAUAGGAUACUGUAUUCUUUAUUGGUAACUCAUCAUGAGUAAACAGAAGGGUUUCCUGUCACAUCCUUUCACUCACGAAAGGCAUUAAGGGGGGGAGUUGUUCCACAGGGGGAGUUUCUUGUCAUGAAAGAAAUGGAAAAAAGCUUUAGACGCUGUUAUUUUCAUGUACCGCUCCAAACACAAAUGCAUGCAAAAGAGCAUUAAAAAAUUAACCUGGGGUCAUAAAUUAGUUUUUUUUUUUAACAAACGGCACGGCCAGGGUUGUCAACUUGUUAAAUAUAUGUUCAAAAUAAGUGAAUUGUGAUAUCUUACAUUAUCCAAGAUCACAUUCAAGUAGUACAGCACAUUAUAAGUAAGACGAACCUGUAGUGGUUUAAUUGAAUUCUUGAUAGUAGGGACAAUCCACUGAAAAAGAUAAAAUGUAUUUAUUUACAAAUUUUUGUUUUUUUCUUUUGUUAUCAUUACGUAAUCUUGAUUAUGACUCAUUAUUUAUUCGCUUCAUACCGUUGCAUCUUCAACUUGACGCCUUCCAGCAAACUAACAAGUUCUACUUUGUACGAGGGUUAAUUUCAACCAAUUGGUUGGUUAAGAAUGUCUUGAUCUUUAAUCAAUUUGUAUUUUUUUCAUAUUACAUUGUAAUUGUAGCUCUUCAAACCGCCUGUUAAUAAACGAUCUUCUGGCUGGCUCUCCUGCUAA